rnacentral:tRNA from 1 species
CUAAAUAAACGGGCCUCGAUCCCGUAAAAUAUUAAUUAACAACUAACCGCUCUAUCCAGCGAGCUUUUAUCUA